rnacentral:rRNA from 1 species
UACGUAGGGUGCAAGCGUUAAUCGGAAUUACUGGGCGUAAAGCGUGCGCAGGCGGGUAUGCAAGACAGAUGUGAAAUCCCCGGGCUCAACCUGGGAACUGCAUUUGUGACUGCAUAGCUGGAGUGCGGCAGAGGGGGAUGGAAUUCCGCGUGUAGCAGUGAAAUGCGUAGAUAUGCGGAGGAACACCGAUGGCGAAAGCGGGUCUCUGGGCAUUUCCUGACGCUGAGGCGCGAAAGCGUGGGGAGCAAACGGG